UCCAAAUCCAAGGCCCAAUUGGUGGAACUAUAUAUUGAUUUUUUCUUCACAAAUCAAGGAAACAAUUCAUUUUCUAAAUUUCUCCAAAGAACUUCCACUCAUUCUCAAAAACCUCUCAAAUUGAUAUCUCCAUUCUCAAAAAGAUCAAAACCAACUCUCUCAACUUUUUCUCAAGAUCUUCAUCCAUCUUCAUCAAAAUCUCAAUAUCCAAAAAAUCAAAAACUCAUAAACUCCAUCAAUUUUAUUCUCCCCCCAGUGAUCGAAGCCACCGCUAAUACUCCCUCCGACUGCAGUGAUUCCGUGAUCAACUCCUCCCUCUGA